UGCAUGCCUUGAAGCCCCCUUC
rnacentral:piRNA from 1 species